ACUGCGCGGCGAAAAACCUUACACACAGUGUCUUUUUGAUACAGAACUCUUGCUUUGGUUUGGCCUAGAGAUAGGUUGGGCCAGAGGUUUAACAAAACACAAUUUAAUUAUUUUUACAGUUAGUCAAAUUUUGAAUUAAUCUUCAAAACUUUCAACAACGGAUCUCUUGGUUCUCGCAUCGAUGAAGAACGCAGCGAAAUGCGAUAAGUAAUAUGAAUUGCAGAUUUUCGUGAAUCAUCGAAUCUUUGAACGCACAUUGCGCCCUCUGGUAUUCCAGAGGGCAUGCCUGUUUGAGCGUCAUUUCUCUCUCAAACCCCCGGGUUUGGUAUUGAGUGAUACUCUUAGUCGGACUAGGCGUUUGCUUGAAAAGUAUUGGCAUGGGUAGUACUAGAUAGUGCUGUCGACCUCUCAAUGUAUUAGGUUUAUCCAACUCGUUGAAUGGUGUGGCGGGAUAUUUCUGGUAUUGUUGGCCCGGCCUUACAACAACCAAACAAG
rnacentral:misc_RNA from 1 species